GCUCUAGCCACCAACUCCCGCCGGGUGAAGCAAGAAGUCGGAAGAACGCUGAUCCGAGAGCGCGUGCGCGAGAAUAGCGGCCGGAGAAGCCACAUGAUUAAGGGGAGGGAUCUACGCAUGCGUGAGUCAUGUCUGCGUCACAUUCACCGUUGAUUCAGUUUCCCGGCUGGAGCCAGUGGGCAGUCCCCUGGAGAACACUGCCUUCUCAGAGUUGGUACCUUGACCCAAGACUUAAAGCAAAGGAAGGCUUAAGACAAGAUGUCCUUCUGAGUCCCACCUUGAGGCAAGCUGCGGUGACGAGGCCCAGGUCUCCAAACUCGCGGUCGUCCCUUCCCCCACCUCUUCGUCCCAGGCCUUCCUCCUUCCCUCCCUCAUCCGACUGCAAACUCAGCGCCGACGAAAUUAGGAAGGAAAAGGAAGAUCGAUGACUCCAGAUGCCGCAAACACCGUUUGCCCUCCCCCCACCUGCUGCCUCCCACCAGCCUCACGGAGCUUAGCAGGUUGUCAGCGCUCUGCUUAUGCUGUUUCUGCAUCUCCUUGAAUGGGAUUUCAAGGCCUUACACCUCCUCCCCUAAAUUGUCCCAAAUGGUCCGCUGGCAGUCCCCUCUCAGGUUUAAUCCUCAUCCUCAUCCUCAUCCUAUCUCCUGCAAUUUAAUUUCGCCCACCUCUGAGAGGUACAUCCCCGCCUCAGGCAGAGCUCCUACCCCAAGGGUCGCCCUCAUCUCUGUCUGAUCUGGUCUUGGAUGACCUCCAAGGUGCUAGCUCAGUCAAUAUUUGCCACAG